rnacentral:ncRNA from 1 species
CUCUAAUAUUUUUUCUAGAUUAUAUAUUCUAAGGAAUAUAUACAAUGAGAUAUUAGAUAUUAAAGAGAUUUGUUCCUUCCUAAUUAAGGUAAAAAAGAAUCAAUAUAAUUUGUAUUAGUAAAAUUAAGUGAAUAUAUGAAUUAUAU